UGGUUUAAUUCGAUGCAACGCGAAGAACCUUACCUACUCUUGACAUCCAGAGAACUUUCCAGAGAUGGAUUGGUGCCUUCGGGAACUCUGAGACAGGUGCUGCAUGGCUGUCGUCAGCUCGUGUUGUGAAAUGUUGGGUUAAGUCCCGCAACGAGCGCAACCCUUAUCCUUGUUUGCCAGCGAGUAAUGUCGGGAACUCCAGGGAGACUGCCGGUGAUAAACCGGAGGAAGGUGGGGACGACGUCAAGUCAUCAUGGCCCUUACGAGUAGGGCUACACACGUGCUACAAUGGCGCAUACAGAGGGCAGCAAGCUAGCGAUAGUGAGCGAAUCCCAAAAAGUGCGUCGUAGUCCGGAUUGGAGUCUGCAACUCGACUCCAUGAAGUCGGAAUCGCUAGUAAUCG
rnacentral:rRNA from 1 species